CACGACCCAUUCCUCUCCCUCAUCCACGAACUCAUCUUAUCCAUCCCCGUGCACACCUUCCUCCGCGCCCCGGCGAGAUCCGUUGCGCCCCGCCUCCAUCGACCUGGCCACGCCGGAGCUCCUCCUUCCCCAGCCUUCUUCUCCGCCGACGCACCCCACACCCCAGACCGGCAGGGAAGCAUCCCGCACCGGCGGACGCGCUCCCCCGCCUCUGACCGGCGCCGGCGUGGCCCCGCGCCGCGCUUCUCCCUUUCGGCGUCGUCCUGCGCGCCGCCGCAUCGAUCCCUCACCGAUUUGAUGCAUCCCGCGGCUGGGACCUUCGAUCCCCGUCGGAUCCGGGCCCUUCUUGUCCAACGACGACAACAAAAGCAUGCAGCGGCUGCUCCAGCCGCCCCACCGCAUAUUCCAACCAGCGCCUCCCUGCUUGUUGUGGACUUGUGAAUCCAUAUGUCAACAUGCAGUGCCGGUACAUAGGCUGCGUCGGCAAGGUCGACAAGGCAAUGGCCUUCGUGAGAACAUUCUUAGGGGUUGAAACGUCGGUGGGAGCGACGUCGGCACUGGAGUCGUGGCCGUGGCGGGCAAGGUGAACCCAGCGGAGCUCUGCCAGUGGCUCAAGAGGAAGACAAGGAAGGAUGCCAAGAUUGUCCACCUUCGUCCACCUGAUGAAGAAUCAUAAUAAGCAGGGCCUCACUAAAUUCUAAAAUGAUGUCAAAGCAACAUUUUCGAGGUUUUGUGCACAUGCCCAAGCAAGAAGGUUCAACAUCCACUUCCAGCAGGACUUGCCUUUUAUUUUCCAUGUUUGCAAGCAAGAAGCUUUGCCAGCUACUUCCAGGAUGAUGAAGUUGUGUCGGUGUUCAUGUGUUUGUCGGAAACGAUGCGUAUAGAGGAUCUUCUUGCAGACAGGAAUGACCAAGACCUUUGCGCAUGAUCUGC